GGACGGGUGAGUAAUGUCUGGGAAACUGCCUGAUGGAGGGGGGAUAACUACUGGAAACGGUAGCUAAUACCGCAUAACGUCGCAAGACCAAAGAGGGGGACCUUCGGGCCUCUUGCCAUCAGAUGUGCCCAGAUGGGAUUAGCUAGUAGGUGGGGUAACGGCUCACCUAGGCGACAAUCCCUAGCUGGUCUGAGAGGAUGACCAGCCACACUGGAACUGAGACACGGUCCAGACUCCUACGGGAGGCAGCAUG
rnacentral:rRNA from 1 species